rnacentral:misc_RNA from 1 species
GACUGGCGUAGGUGUGCGCGUGCGUGCAUGAAUACACCUUUCGAGGUCGAUCUAUACAACUGCUCUCUCGCUCGCUCAACGCGCGGCAAAGGUCUCGCUCCCAGAAACGUGCACGGACACAUGCUCACGAAACGACUAAGGCACCCUCCCAACCCAAAGGCCCACUCCCUCCCCCUCUCUUUCUUUCUCUCUCUGCCUGCCUCUCUCACAUUCCCCAUUCAUGUGCCUGCGCGGGUGCGUCAGUGUCUGCGUCGCUCCACCCCUCCACCUCCUUUCCUGAGGUCUGCGUGCCACAACGUCUGAAUGCAUUCGCCACGUCGUGGCCAUGCGCUCCCCCGCCUAUUCGGAGUUCCUGCCUGCACCACCGCCAGCUCACCCUCGAGCACCUCGAUAGAGCCGUCGUGCUCGGACACCCAACAGCACCAUUCAAGGCCUCUGCGCCAGCACCAUGUGAGCGCAGGCAAGCACGACCGCGAUGAGGGGCCGCCCUCCUCCACACCUGUCGCGCUCCUCCGCCGCCAAGACUCCAGCACCGCGUCGGCCCCGCCACGGCAGAAAAAUUCGCCACACGCCCUCUGGCGAGCACGAGCGCCGCGCCAGAUGCCAGCGGCCGCCGCUUCCCUUCUCCCCUGCAUCUCCUCAGCGUCGCCCCUGGCCCCGUCGACGUCCUCACACCUGCAGCGGCCGUUCGGCGGACCUCGCGCGGUUCCACCCAGCAGCGGCGGUGGUGCAGCUGGAGCCGCCUUACGUGGUAGCACAACCGUGCACGGCCAGAGAAACGACGACAACGCGGACGAAACAAGCAAUCACUACGAUGGGGAGUACGACCGACUAGUCUUCUCUCCUAUCCACCCGAACCGCGCCGGUCUUGUUGCUUCGCUCGACAUUUCCACCGAGGACCGGGGCGACGGCGCGGAUAGCACCGUCGCCCCGGACUCGCUAGUGUUGGAGAAUUCGGAGCAUCGCUACUCGGAGUCGUUCUCGCUGGGCAGCCCGAGAGACCCGCCAUCGCGCGGCUUCAUUACCGCCUCGCAAGCCGCCGCUGCGCUCGAGCGCCUUCCAGAGCUCUCCAUCUCUCCGCGAAGGUCAGCGGCGUCUUCGGCCGUCACGGCUCCCAUCUCUGCACAGGCGGCCGCUGUCUUGACUUUCUCAUCGUCUUGCCGACCGUGCAGUAAAACGGCUACUCUGCCGACGGCUGAUGCAGUGGCCCUGCAGCCGGAUGCGUGGUGGUCGACACUGGAUGGGACGCUCUCGGCCACCAGCACACUCCUCAACGAUGGAUCGCAGCGAAUCCACCACGUCGCGAAGACACCGCCGCCCGCCUCGUUGCAUCCCCUUUUAGCUCCCAGCCUGAACGACACGCUGGGUCGAGCAGACCGCGCCGCCAUUGUGCUGUCCAUGCGUCUUUCUCAUCAAGCUAGCUCGGCGACGGGGGAGACCGUUGCGCCAGGGGUCUUCAGAGCCAAGGACGGCAGCGCUGGUUCGGGCGGGAGCAGCGCUGGCAGAAGCACGAAAAGCGAGGAAGCGACGGCAGCGGCGGUCGCCGCCCUCGCGAUGCGGCUGUCGCGCGCCACUGCGGGCGGUUCGCUAGCCGGAGGCCUCAGCGGGGCUGCGAGCACGAGGCUGUCCGACGCGUCGCGCGGCAGCGUUGUACAGAACACGCUUCAGGGGCUGCGCGACGCGUUACGGCUUACUCAGUCGUCAGCGGAGGAGCUAGACAUUUCUGCCCCUCAUAUCGCAUCGCGCUGGCUGGAUGCGCCAGAGGAAGGCCAUGAACCACUUUCCUCCUCGGACGUGCGAAGCAAACCGGCACCAACACGAACCACUCGCGCCUCGCGUGCGCAUCGGCAGGCUGCCGAGGAAGUCGCUCACCCACACGGCGCUCAAGAGGGCGGCGCCGGGGUCAUCAAGAGAGGUGGCGGUACGCAGCGCGGCCGCGGCGCAUCGAUGCGCACCUACGUCGACGACACAGAUUGUGCACCUGCGCCGGCGGCGGCGUUGCUGCCCUCAGCGCGUGCGCUCUCGCAGUCAGCUCCGCUUCUCGAGGGUGCCGCUGAGGGUCGCGUGGGUGCGGUGAUGCAAGGCCUGCAUCCAGCAUCAUUUGUCACCGACACCAGAGCUCACAAUACCCGAACGUCCUCCGUGGGCUUUACGACGGACUCGAACGCCGGUGCUCGUGAAGGGGCAGGAGCGCGCACUGGCGACCAGGACGGCUGCGCGAGGGCGGCAUCACAUGCAUUGUCUCCUCCAUCGCACCCGCAUGCCGUCGCCGACAUUGCCGUUGUGGCCGAGUUGCCACGAUCGUGUCCAUGGCAGCAGGAGUGUCUCACACUGGAGACGAUGAAGAGACGGUACGGAGCGCAGAGCGCUGUACACACGCGUCGACGAAGUCAGUGCAAUCACAACCACCGUCGCUCCGAGGGGCCGCCCGCCGCGGAUCACUCGCCACGCAGCAGCUACGCUGAGGCUCUGGCCCUCUUGGCGUCCCCAGUUGCCUCCUCUGUGCCCACCUCAGACUUCUCCGUCGCCUCGUUAACUAGCUCCAUCUUCAGGCGAGAGCUUGGAGAAGGUGAGGCAGCUCGCCACAUGCUUGCGAAGCAUCGAUGGCGGCUGGCCUCGCCGCGCGAGGCGGUGAGUAGCGCUUCUGGCCAUGCCGCGCAACGAUCGCCAUUGCGGAGCCGACGCGGCACCGGUGCCACUCAAGUCCAUCUGCCAUACAGCACGACGAGCAAGGAGGCGGCGGCAAAGGCGUACUGGGAAGAGCAGCUGCGGCUGUACAGCAGUCACCUCGCCACUCCGUCCACGCUGCUUAGCAAUGAGUCUUUCGCAGCGGAGCAGGGCCUGAUAGACGUGGAUAGCCUCUUCCGGGACACACAGCGCCACACAGCCGGCGCCAGCAUGAGUCUCGUGCGCUGUGCGGCGGCAUCCGGCGCUGGGGCCGCCAGUUCUAGCGUCAGUGGUGCUGCAGCAACGACGAGGAAGGUGCCAGCGUCAAAGCCUGUCGCAGAGACGGCUCCCCGCCUCAACGCUCUUGAUCGUGCUCUGCAAGCCCGAGCAGCGCUUCUGCGCCGGCACGUCCAGGAGAGACCGGCGUGGAAGCGGCAGCUGCACCAGGUUCGCCAGUGGUGCGACCGCACCCAGGUAAUGGUGCGCUUCGACAAUGGUGUCUGCGUUGAACAGAUGGCCGCAGGACCGUCGCACCGAACGGUUGCGCGGCAGCACCAACGACAAAGCCAGCAGCGUGCGAUGAAGGUGGGCAGCUGGACGGGUUCGAUGGACGCGCAAGUGGGCUCUGGGACCUCCGGUGUGGACCUGGGCGAUGACGCUGGGUGGCAGCACUUCGUCUACGCAGACGACCCCACGACAGCCCACGACGCUGUGAUGAAGCAGGCAGCCGAGGAGGAGUAUGAGGUGCAGCGGCAGAACGUUCUGCAGCAGUACCGGGAGAGACGACACUUGUCUUUGCUCGUGGAGUCCUCCAUGGGCGGCCCCCGCGGUGGUCCGGUGGCAUCGCCUGAGCAGAGCGUUGAAUCUGGCAGAGCGGCGGCACAUGCAACUUGCCGGGGGUCGUUCGGCCAUCACGCAGAGAGCCGCCGCGCUGCACAGAAGCUGUCCCCGCGUACCGCGGAUGCCGGCAGGGAGCGCUUGAGAAUCAUGUCACCGCUGAACGGACUGGGCACGAAGCCGGAACUUCUGCCGGAGCACCAGCGCAGCAGCCAGCUCGCCAUGUCGGCCACGGAUGAUCUGGCUUCCAAAGAGGCCAGCGCGACCCUCGGUCAUGUGUCGCCAUCAUCGAUCCAACAGCCGCUGGUGCCGAUACACGCAAAUUUGUGCGCGCGUUUGGAGACGUGGGGCACAGACAUUGCGGACGACGAGGAGGCGCUGCCAUGCGGAGGCAGCACCGCCGAAGACACUACAGAUCGUCCUCCAGCCGCUGCUGCUGGGGCUGCUUGUGAUGGCUACGCAUUGCCACCUGCGUGGCAAGGAGCAUGGAGAGGCAGCCUGCCGCCUCGGAGACGCUCUACGCUCCUCUCUGAUCACUCCGAGGAAUCUGUUCGCAGCCGAUUGGUAGCGGAUGUCAUGGGUGAGCCGAAGAUUUCGGUGCAGGGGACGACCGAACGACGCAACUUCGCUUCCCCACUCGUCCACCUGCAGCGAACCUCGCUGAGCCAAAGCGGGCCGGCUACUUUGACGGGGGCAGAGCGUGACCUCUUGAGCUUCGUGCUGACAUGUGCCAGCGGCGGCGGCGAUGCUGAGCACCUUUCGGUUCUUCUUUCGCUAUGCCACGGUCAUGGCAGGAAAAGCACCGCCGUGGAGUGUCGCCUCCACAGCACUGCUAGCGCAGCCGGGCUUGCUGGCACACAGCUGCCGCCGGCGCUGGUCGCCUUGCGCACGAUGCUGGACCAGUGGUCCCAAGCGCCCAUUUGCGAUGGCGCCGCUCUCGAUGCUGCUGUGGCGCAGGAGAGUGCCGGCUGCGGUGCCGUGGCGACAAGGGAGCGGCAUGUUUCUGCUAAGGAGCUGCCUUUCUCAGCUCCGUGUGACCUCGAAGAGGCGGUGAUCAUGCAAGAGGCUGCAGGUGUCCGCCGUGGCGCGGUCGCUGACGCAGGCUCCCCGAGAGUCGAUCACGAGUUGGGGAAGGCAAAAGGGCCAGCGACGGCGCCGACUUCGGAGAGCACACCCCCUCCCUCAUGGAACGCGUUGGUCACCGCACUGCUCAGCGGCUACAGCGCCUUGGACCUGAGCUUCCUCCGGCAGCUGCACCUGCUCUUGUGGGAGUACAAGGCGAAGGAACAUGGGGGCAUGCGCAUCACAGCGUCAGACGCCCCGGAAGGUGUUGUAACAUCAACUCUGCCGCCACCGCCGCCGCCGCCGCCGAUCUCCACACCACACCGAUCACAGGGAGCUCCACCUGCUGUGCUCCCGCUCGCGCUGCAUCUCUCCGUCGUGCAGGAGGCGAGGAUGACGGCUAGCACCAAUUUGAGGAGCUCCGACAGCAGUCUCCGUAUAUUGUCCACUGUGGUGGUGGAUGCUGCGGACUUGCUCGAUGCGAUUGCAGCCACGGCGCUGCUUCGCUGGCUGUGCGACGCCAGCCGCCAAAGCCCCACGAGCAGCUGGGCAGAGCUGGUAGCGCGCCUACCCGAAACGUGCGCACAGGAUUGGCAGAAUGCACUUGCGCGGUGUAUCGAGGUCGCAUCCUCAGGCGCACAUUCUCAUGAGAACGUCUCGGCGCGCGUCUCGUUUGUGUCAAGCGAGUCGCUGCGAUCGCGCGCAUCCCUCCGCGCUGGGCUGACCGCGGCCACAGCCCCCUCAUCGUACGCUGGCAAGCUCGAGUCUUUUCUAUGCGAUACCGCAUCUGCCCUUGAGAGCGCCGCGUGGCGACAGCACCGGCUUCACAGCGUGCUGCACCGCGCGAGUUUGCACGCCGAACAGGACCGAAGGACUGCGAUCAGCUCUGCUGCUACUGGCGCGGCCGCCGUCGCCUCACUCGCGGUCGACAAUACUUUCGGCGCCGUGUCUGCGGCCUUCCCCUGUGUGGGUGACACCCCGUACCUUCCCGGGGAUGAGGCACGCGCUCGCUACCCGCUGGACAUGCGCAACCUGUACUUGCUGUCUGCACUGGCAGUUGAGGACGUCGACGCGCGCAUCGUACCACAGUUGCGUGAGGCGAGGGUACAGUACGCAGAUGCUCUGCGAGCUGCAGCAGACGCGGCGACUUUGGUCAGCGCGCCUUUCAACCCGUCCGUGCCAAACGUGUCUUCGAUGGCCUUCUCGAGGCCGACGGCUUCUCUGCCACUGGCGCUUCAGCAGCGCGUGCAUCUUGAUAGACUGUUCCAGAUCGAGCAGCGCUUCUUCAGCUUCUUGUGGACGCUAUGGAACUCGGAGCAGUCCGUUUUCGCCUUCAAUCAGCACGUAGCCCCAUUCAACGCCUUCACGGCGGCGGAGCAGCGCUGCUGGGGGCCACUCUACCGGAGCUCGCUGAAGGUGGCCUACUUUGUGUGUGAAGAGCUGGCCGAGAAAGGGAUGGAAAAUGUGUCAGCGGAGCUUCUGCCAUUUGUGUCGAUCGUCGCCGCCUUCGCAGGGUGCCGGGGCGGCCAUCGCGAGCUCUUGUCGAAGCUGAAGACAAUCAUGCUCGAGCUGACGGAGCGGGCAAAGAAGGUGCAGGUGCCGCUGGAGUCUUUGUCAUGGCAGGGUAAACGGUCGCAGGUGCUUGAGGAGGCCAUCGCAGCCUCCAAGGUCGCGUCUAGACGUGCGGGAGCUGUGGUCUCCUGUCUCACCACCGAGGCGGACGUCGUGAGCCUCCCGCUGGCGGAGCUGGCAACGCCCGCGCUGCGCCUUAUCCAUGUCCUGCCGCUUUCUCCGCCACCGCAUGACUUGUGAGGAGGACGUCGAAGGUGCCGUGAUGGACGAAGCGACAUUUCCCAGCUGCGGGGUGCGUGUCUGGCCGGGGUGACCCAGCGUGGAUGGUGGGCAGAACGCUCCCCCUCCCACCCUCCACGUCCUCUCCCUUCCCUCUUUCGAAUGAUGAGCGCCGUAACGCGGGCUCCCCGGCCGACUUGAUGACACCGCCAACUUGUCGUUUCGUGUUGGGCCGCCCCACUGCCCACCACGCCAGUCUUUUAUGUAUACUAGAGCCGGCAAAGGAAGUGUGCUGCCUUUCUCUGUGCUUCGUCAGUGCCCGCGCUCCGUCUCCUCGGACGCCCCUCCUCCACCUGCCCC